rnacentral:rRNA from 1 species
ACGUAGGGGGCGAGCGUUGUCCGGAUUUACUGGGCGUAAAGGGAGCGUAGGUGGAUAUUUAAGUGGGAUGUGAAAUACCCGGGCUUAACCUGGGUGCUGCAUUCCAAACUGGAUAUCUAGAGUGCAGGAGAGGAAAGCGGAAUUCCCAGUGUAGCGGUGAGAUGCGUAGAGAUUGGGAGGAACACCAGUGGCGAAGGCGGCCUGCUGGGCCUUAACUGACGCUGAAGCUCGGAAGCGUGGGUAGCAAACA